rnacentral:rRNA from 1 species
AUUGAACGCUAGCGGCAGGCCUAACACAUGCAAGUCGAACGCGAGGCGGACGGGUGUGUAAAGUCUGGGAAACUGUCUCAUGGCGGGGGAUAACUCCUGGAAAAGGGAGCUCAUAUCCCGUACCAUCAUAUGUACCCCGCUGGGAUUAUCUCGUUGGUGUGGUAACGGCGCACCAAGCCGACAAUCCCUAGCUGGUCUGAGAGGAUGACCAGCCACACUGGAACUGAUACACGGUCCAGACUCCUACGGGAGGCAGCAGUGGGGAAUAUUGCAAAAUGGGGUCAAGCCUGAUGCAGCCAUGCCGCGUGUAUGAAGAAGGCCUUCGGGUUGUAAAGCACUUUCAGCGAGGAGGCGUUACCCGCAGAAGAAGCACCGGCUAACUCCGUGCCAGCAGCCGCGGUAAUAC